rnacentral:rRNA from 1 species
UACGAAGGGGGCUAGCGUUGUUCGGAUUUACUGGGCGUAAAGCGCACGUAGGCGGAUCGAUCAGUCAGGGGUGAAAUCCCAGAGCUCAACUCUGGAACUGCCUUUGAUACUGUCGAUCUGGAGUAUGGAAGAGGUGAGUGGAAUUCCGAGUGUAGAGGUGAAAUUCGUAGAUAUUCGGAGGAACACCAGUGGCGAAGGCGGCUCACUGGUCCAUUACUGACGCUGAGGUGCGAAAGCGUGGGGAGCAAACGGG